UACGUAGGGGGCGAGCGUUGUCCGAAGUUACUGGGCGUAAAGCGCGCGUAGGCGGUCCUUUAAGUCUGGUGUGAAAGGUUCACGGCUCAACCGGAACAGUGCACUGGAUACUGGGGGACUUGAGUUAGGGAGAGGAAGGCGGAAUUCCUGGUGUAGCGGUGAAAUGCGUAGAUAUCAGGAGGAACACCGAUGGCGAAGGCAGCCUUCUGGCCUAUAACUGACGCUGAGGUGCGAAAGCGUGGGGAGCGAACGGG
rnacentral:rRNA from 1 species